rnacentral:rRNA from 1 species
UACAGAGGUCUCAAGCGUUGUUCGGAUUCAUUGGGCGUAAAGGGUGCGUAGGCGGCGCGGUAAGUCGGGUGUGAAAUCUCGGAGCUUAACUCCGAAACUGCAUUCGAUACUGCCGUGCUUGAGGACUGGAGAGGAGACUGGAAUUUACGGUGUAGCGGUGAAAUGCGUAGAUAUCAGGAGGAACACCAAUUGCGAAGGCAGCUCGCUGGGACGGUACUGACGCUGAGACGCGAAAGCGUGGGGAGCGAACAGG